GGAGCCGCGAUGCAGAGAGCAAAGCGCUGAGCUCCAGGGGGGCAGAGCUGGGGGCAGCCGGUGGUGGGGACACUGGGGGCGGCGGUGGCACCUGACCCCCCCCCAAGGUGAGGAGGGCCGCUGGCCCGGCUGCCCCGGCACCACGCAUCGGAAACCGAGUCUGGGAGGAACACGCAGGCGCUGGGUUGGUCCCUUAUAUAUGUAUAUGGGCAGUUGCAGCUUGAAGGAAUCAGCAGUUUCAGAUACCUUGAAUUCACACCGGCAGAGCUGGCCAUGGAGGAGCCUGUAUCUUGUAGCUCAAAUACAAAAGUGGCUUCUCGAUCUGUCAACAAGUUUUGGCCCGAGCAAACAGACACUGCGGAUGACCUGCUGUGCCAAGGAUGCCCUGCCACGUCAGCCCCUCUCGGCAGCAGGGACUGGGCCAGUGGCCGCACCGACGCUGCAGGAGAUGGGGCAGCCGCGGGCCCACCUGCUCGCCCAGGCAUCGCGGGGACGGGAGGGCAGCGCCGGGGAGGUGGAGCACGGUUCAGGGACCAGGGGAGACGCCUGGGAGCUUCCCGACUGCUGAUGAGGAUGAGGAGAAGCUGCUGAGACAAAUCCCACAGAGCAAAUACAGGUAUUGCUGGCUGCUAAAAGGAAACCAACAUCUUCAAAUACAUCUGUGACUAAAGAUGUCUUGGAAUAAGUUGGUUGCAACCAUCAUCUUCACCUUUCCCACCAAAUGCAUUUCUGGACCAAGAGAACAAGCACUGUAAGCUGAAGCUAAACGCAGGUGGGGAGCUAGAUUGGUUACCAUCGUCAUUUAGCAGGAGCUGCCUGUGGAAGUCUUUACAAUGAGAUAUACAGACUCCAUCCACCACAGGUGCCUUGCAGGCUCUUUCUUCUAUGAACUAGAACAGUUUUUCCUUUCUCCCUGCUUCAGAGAGUCUUUGCAGAACCAGGGGCUUCAGGUACCAUCUGCAGAGCUGCCCACGCACCAUCAGGAUUUAUUUUCAUCAACCUCUGAAGAGAUGAAGAGCCAACCACGAUGCCUUGCUCUCCACCACCGUUUGUUCUAGUGACUACACUCAGCACACUACCUAGUCAGCUAGAAAACAUCCCCCCUCCCCCACAAAAGAGCUUCACUUUCUUUUGCACACCCAACCAAGGGCAAGGGGGGGAAAUCAUAUGAUUGUAAAAUGAUGGAAUUAAUCUGCAACUUGACCUUCACUAAUGAUGGAUGGCCUGUUUGUAAAGAUCAUCGGUUGAAAGCCUUCACUCAGAUGCAUCACCUGCAGCUGCAAUGAAUCGAGGGGACAACCUGAUGUCCUUCCUCAGCUCUCUGGGGGUUGUGCAAUACAUGCAGGGAAUAGUCCAGUUUCUGGUGACCAAGAUACUUAACCUGUAUGAAGUGAAUCCAAAUUUAAUUUGAGAUCUGGGCUGUACAUGAGUCAAGUGCAGUGGUUAGGCUGGGCUCAGGUUCUUAUGUCCAAGUGUCCCAAUAUGAGCUGUGUGUCUCAUUAUGGCUUACUUCAAAACAGGCCUUGCACAAGAGCUGAGCGUAGCUGCAGAUAAUUUAACUCUAAAUUUUGGCUGCUUGCCUGGCUCUGCGUCACUUGCUGCUGAAGGAAUUGUUGUAAUCUGCAAAUUAUUUUCUUGUAUUAAUUCAUUCUGGUGAAAUAAAACUUUUGCAAACUGC